AACUAACGCUGGCGGCGUGCCUAACACAUGCAAGUCGUACGAGAAAGCCGGCUUCGGCUGGUGAGUAAAGUGGCGCACGGGUGAGUAACGCGUGGAUAAUCUGCCCUUAAGUGUGGAAUAACGUACCGAAAGGUGCGCUAAUACCGCAUAAUGCCUGGCAACACAAGUUGUCCGGCCAAAGAAGGCCUCUGUUUACAAGCUUUCGCUUUCAGGAUGAGUCCGCGUACCAUUAGCUUGUUGGUGGGGUAAUGGCCUACCAAGGCUGCGAUGGUUAGCUGGUCUGAGAGGAUGAUCAGCCACACUGGAACUGAGACACGGUCCAGACUCCUACGGGAGGCAGCAGUGACGGAAUAUUGCGCAAUGGGGGCAACCCGUGACGCAGCAACGCCGCGUGAGUGACGGAAGGUUUUCGGACUGUAAAGCUCUGUCGAGCGGGAAGAAGUGUACCAUGGCUAAUAUCCAUGAUAUUUGACGGUACCGA
rnacentral:rRNA from 1 species